rnacentral:rRNA from 1 species
CCUACGGGAGGCAGCAGUAACGAAUCUUCCGCAAUGCGCGAAAGCGUGACGGGGCAAUGCCGCGUGCAGGAUGAAGCCCCUCGGGGUGUAAACUGCUGUCAGGGUGCAGGAAAGAAAUGACCAUACCCAAAGGAAGCACCGGCUAACUCUGUGCCAGCAGCCGCGGUAAUACAGAGGGUGCGAGCGUUAAUCGGAAUCACUGGGCUUAAAGGGUGCGUAGGCGGGUGCAUAGGCGCUUUGUGAAAUCCCACGGCUCAACCGUGGAAUUGCUUGGCGAACCAUGCAUCUUGAGGUUGGUAGAGGUCACUGGAACGAUAGGUGGAGCGGUGAAAUGCGUAGAUAUCUAUCGGAACGCCAAAGGUGAAGACAGGUGACUGGGCCAAAUCUGACGCUGAGGCACGAAAGCGUGGGGAGCAAACGGGGAUUAGAUACCCCGGUAGUCCACGCUGUAAACGAUGCAUACUUGGUCGGAGCGGUUGUACGUCCGUUCCGGUCCGUACGGAAACGUAGAUGAGUAGUGCCGCGUUGGGUAGGUACGGUCGCGAGAAUUAAACUACAAUAGAAGUUAGUACGGCGUGAGACGUGCCGACGGACGACGACGAGGGAGGAGG